CGGGCGAGCGGUGCCGCUGCCAACGACAGAAGGCUCGGGGCGGGGUGGGCGCAGCACCUCUUUUCUCCGUUCCCAGUGCCAUCCCCAUCCCGAAGGAGACGGGCGCCUACGCCCGCAGGGCGAUGGGAAAUAACGGGCUUGCGGGAUGCUACAGACGGACGGGGCUGGGACGGGGGGAAGAGGGCGCGAGCAUCGCGCAUGCGCAAACGGGAUUUUGUUUUUUGUUUUUUUUUUUUUUGCUGGGGCAGCCGCGCAUCCUCUUGGGCUGCGGCCGCUGGAACCUUCUGGAAAUGGCGGCGGCCUCAGCUGGUCACGGGGCGAGGUGGCAGACGAGAGCUUUUCCGGUCUUUGCCACGGGAUAGGAGCCGAUCUACAGCCACCAGCGCCCCCCGCUUUGCCUCGCCCCGUCCUGCCGCUGCCGCCCCCUCCCCGGGGAGGGGUUUUUCCGGCGGUGAUGGCGCAGUGAGUUUUAACUAUCCGGCGUAGUGCGCGUGCGCGGCGGGCGCAGCCCGUCCCGUUCCAUCUUAUCCUCUUCCAUCCCUUCACCGGGCGCUAGCGGCUGCGGAGGGGCUGCGGCUAAAGGCCCCGCAAUUUUUGGGAGAAGCCCCCGGACGCAGGAAUUAGAAAACUGACCACAACUUCACAAUCUGGAACAACUGGAAAAUACAGGUAAGCCAGCAAAGCAGCUUAAUCACUUAAAAGGAAAUGUAGUACUUACAUAGUAAUUGUCAUUUAUUUGUACCAUCGGUGCGUUCACGCAAGCACCUAAACAUUCCACUUCUAUUAGCGUGAAGAGCUUAUCAGGUGUUGUUUCCCCAACUUUAAUACCUAAACCAAUAAAUUAAUUAGGCUCAGCAAUGGUUAUGAACGAAAGUAAUAAAGCAUGAAUCUAAGUACACCAUGGACAUUGCAUUACUUGUAUUUUGGCUUUAAAAGCAUUUGCAAAGUUAAACCCCUUUAAAUGAGUCAAAAUGUUUCCUUUAAACAGAAGUUUCUACAAAAGCAUUAAAUCGGUUUUCAGAUACAUUUUUGAGACCUUGCUUACGGGUAUGAUUCAUUGAAAAAUAAUCACGAAAUGACAACUCUGAGAAACACAAAAGAUCUACUCAAGAACAUUUUUAGUAAUCAAUACAAUAAAAUGGAAAAAUAGGAACACAUAGCUUUUAUAUGCUGAUAGGAAAUAAAUUAAUAUACAGUGUUGAAUAUUCCCAAAUUAACCAACUUCCAAGCGUUGUUAGCUGCAAAUUCAUAAACAACUUUCAAGUUUAUACACAAAGGAUGAUUUACUGAACUGCACACAUACUUAUCAUCCAUGGCAUGUUACUGUUCUACUGCUAGAGAUGCAGACAUUCCUCAGAGAUGAGUUAGUUCAAGUAACAUCUCAGAGUCUGAUCUCUACAAAAUACUCCAUGGAAGGAAGAAUGCUGAAAAGCAGUUUUCCUCCAUUUACUAGCAGGAAGAGGUUGGAAAUAAUAGAAGUUGUAAGUAAGGCCUGUCUCAGUAAAAACUACAGAAUCAUACCUACUGUUUUGAUUUCUCAAGAUGACAGUUUCAGUUGAAAUUAAGCUAUCUAUGCAGUAACAAGACAUUUCAUCUAAAUAUGCCUUUUUCAGACAACAGAGAAUAUGCAAUGACAGAUAAUAGACAGCUGUUCGGCAGCUCUUAUCAAUGGUUCUUAGAAAAAGUUAACACAGAUUUUCAUAGAAGGGGAAGAGUUGUCAGUUGUUGAUCUUGUCCUCUCUUCCUCCCCAUAACCACCCAAAAAGGAGGAAAAACCCCUCAACUCACACACAAAACCCCUGAGUAGUGCUUGUAUGCACCAUGAUGCACCAUUCUCGACUGACUUUUUGGAGAACUCAUAAAUCAUGUUAACAUCACGUUAUCAUCCAGAGGGACCCUUGAUAGGCUGAAGAGGUGGGCCCAUGUGAACCUUAUGAAGUUGAACAAGGCCAUUUUCUUCUACUAUAUGAAAAAUUUUACUUCAGUAUCAUUAAAUAAAAGUAAAAAAUGCAAAAAGUACAUUACAAACUUGUGUCAUACCAAGUUUCUUCUUAAUGGCUUCUAAAAUGCUGUCAGAGUCUCGCAGCAUGCACGGUGUGGUGGUGCAGACCUGAAUGUGGUAUUUCCCGACAGGUUUGCGAUUGUACAUGGUGUAGAAGGUUGCUACUUCAUAGACUCUCAUGGGAGGCAUAUCUAAAACUUCAGCAACCUGUGACAGGAAAAACAUGCUAUGUUGAAUUCUCAGAUGGGAGCAGUGAAGGCGUUUGGCAAACCAUUUCAGUGAAGUCACCUGUCCUGUUUGCAGUAACAGUUAAGUAAGAGGGUGGGGGUGGGUAUCAAAGCACAAAUGUAUUCCACGUGCCAGACACUGGAGUUCUGUGACUGGCAUCAAACUCCAUGAAGCCACAAAUCUGCACAGCGAGGAGCCAAGUCAGCUCCCCUCCAGCAUCUCUUGUCAGACACAAGGGGGAUGCACGGAGUCAGCUGGGUGUGGGCUUUCCUUGUCAGCUCCAGCUCACACUGCACUUGGGCUGUGAAUGAACAAGCCUGUAUGAGCCUGCCCACACUAAUCCAUGGAAGCCUUUUGGUAAGGAAUACUUGCAAGCUGGUACUGUGGUUAUCUAAUUCAUAUAGAGCAAGUCUCCCUCAGAUUCUGUGACACACCAGGGCUGCAUCUGCAGAUUCCUGUCACAGCUAAUAAGUAGGGAAUGAAGCACGAUCUCCAUGGAGCCAGUUCAAGUAUCCCUGACCUCAUUAACCUGGAACCCUGGCAAACUGCUCAAGCUGAGAACUGGCUCUGGUUUCAAUAGUGUAACUGUUUAAGGUUCCAGUUUCUCUAGCAGGCAAAUAACAAAUCAUGGAAAAUAUUUGUUCAUUUAAAAGCCUUAAGAUCGUUUUAAACAUAGUAUCAACCUGAAACUUAAAUAAAUGAAGACACACUCCCAGCAUUAAUGGAGCUUUGAGGCUUCAUGUUAUGCUGUAGAAACUGUAGCAGACAUAAGUUCCCUUUCUUUAAAUGCUAAUUUAUCUCCUUCAAUCAUUUCUCUAAUGCUCACAAUCCUCACCUUAAAUUGAAUUUAAAGCUUUACACUUUAAAAUUGUUGAUAUUCCAGAUGGUUACACAAAGUACAACAGAUUUAUUAUGAAUAUUAUGAAUAUGAAUAUAAACCAUAUUUUUUUAUUUCUUGGUAUUUGGUUACUGUCAUGCAGCCUCUUACUUUGGAGCAGUGUAGUUGUUUGCCUGGUUAUUUUGAAACAAUUUUAAUAAUUAACCUGACAAGUCUUCUGGUUGCUUUCUGUGAGGUAAUACCCAACACUCUUAACAUCUACUACACCAACGCUGCUCUGCAGUCCUUACAGACUUAGAGAUUUAGUAUAAUUCAGGCAAUGUGUGAAAUGCCAUUAAUCUGUGAGGAAGAAAAUUCCACUGACAUUGCCUUUUUUCUUUCCCCACAUUCAGCAGUGAACAAAAUCAGGUUUCUGUUCCUAAUUCCAGGAUCGGUUUGGGAGAAGAGCCUAUCUGAAUAGGUUUUAUCUAAUUUUUGAUUUUGAUUUGUUUGUGGUGUCUAGCAAUGACCUAAUAUUACGUAAACAGAGCCCUGAGUUUUCUGCAUUAGUCUUCCCUUUUAUUUUUAAAAACCUAGUCUCAUAGGGAAUUCUCACAAUUGUGUGCCACAUGUAAAUUCCCAUGUUAGUAAGCUUUCAUUAAUUAAUGUUAAUAUUCUAGUAAGAUGUUGAAAGAAAACAAUAAAAUUAUGCUUGAAAGAUAAUUAAUUACUAAAUACCUUGUUCAUAGCUGAUAUGGGCAGCCAUCCAUGCUGUCUUUGGGCCAAAUCCAGUACUGCCAUGACAGCUGCAGACUUGUGUCCCUCUGGGUAGUUGUUUAUGAUCGCUUCUAUUCGCUUGUUGAAGGGAAAGAAGGAAAACAAAUCAGUACUGCUCUAAAGACAAAGAUGUCUGUGUAUUGAACUUUUUUUUGUCUGCAUACCUUUAGGUUUUCAGAUGUGAACUCAAAUGGAGUAUCUGGAUUGUUUUCAGGACUAUCUCUAUGCUGCAAGAAAAGAAAAACGUAAAAUUGGGUUGCCAGGAAAUCAUUUGGUACAUAUUUACUGUUGUAAAAUACAACAGUUACACAGUUACAGUUGAGCUGCUUGAAGAAAAACUAUAUAUUCCACAUAAAAAUUCUGUAAUAUUACAUUGAUGAAAUAUAUUUGGGAAAGGUAUCAAAAAUUGAUACUUAUUUAAUCGUUCUUGAAAAUCAUUACCUAUUCCCAUUACUUCCUAUUAAAAAAUUAUUUACUGAGUAAUACAUGAAAUUAUAUAUUGAGGAAAUGUAAGGUGUUGUUCUCAAAAUACACAUUUUUAACACUGUUAAUACAGUUUGACAAUUAUGUUGAAAUUUACAAUAGGCAGAGUAAGAACACCCUGGUUAAUACCUUAACAAACAAGAGACUAAAACAACAGUUUGUUUUUCCUUUUACCAUGAAACAUUAAUUUAAAAAAAAAUAAAUCACAAUUCAUCAAGAAGUUUGUUGUAGGAUUAAAACAUCUGCACAUUCAAACAAAUUAUUAGUCCAUUUUAACAUAUUGUUUUGAUUUUUAAUGGAUUUCAACAUUUUCAUUUUAUAUAUAAUUCUGAAUCAGAAUAUAAGAAGCAGACUUUUGAAUUAGUAUUUCAAAAAUAAGGUAUUCUAACAAGUUAUUUUUAAGGUGAUCUUCUGUGGAAACAUCAAAUUAUAAUUAGUUCUUCUGUAUUCAGACAAUAAAAAUUUGGAGGUCUUGAAAACGUAACAUUUUCCUGUACUAAAAUCUUAGUUCUGAUGAAAAUCCUUUUCCACCAGAAAAUGUUCCUGCACAAAAAAUUUAGCUGUCUUUAAGCAGCUCAUUUUGGUUUCCUUUAAAUACCUGUAAUUAGGUUUAAUUCCAAAUUUCAUAUGGUUUUCAAAUAGAGAAAACUUCAAAUUAAAUGCAAAGUUUUUGGGAAAACACCAGCUAUAUUUGAGGCUUUAUGUUAAAAGUAAUCAACAACCAGCCAAUAAUAAAAGCUUUAGAAGUGUAUUUAGAACAAAGAAAUCCCCUCCACUUCCAUUUGGAUCAUUUCCUCCAGUAAUCAAGGGCAAUUUUGCAGUUUCCACACUACACUCUUCUUACUGAGCAGCAAAGGAUUUAAUGAAAAGCCUUAACAUUGCCAAGACACUUCCACGCUUGAGUGUGUUUCAUCAGUGAAGAACUUAGAACAUGUGUGGACCACAGCUAUGCUUGGAUUUAUAAAUUUUAAUAAGGAAAUAUUACAAGGACAAAUACUUCAAUUACAUCUGUUGGUCUGUCCAGGGAUUACCUUUGCUUAUCCUGUUUACAUCCCAAAGUAGACAAUUUGACUGUUACCACCAGUUUGAAACCAUUGUGCCCUCACCACAGUUUCCAUAUAUAGUCCAAUAUAAAACUACCAUUGAUAAAUACUUCACUAAGGAUGACUUUCCUAUAGGAACAAGAAUUACUGAAAGAUGACUGAUGCCCUUUGAACAUGCUAGUAUUUUAUUAAGUGUUAAUUUCUUGCUUAUUGUGUUGUUUACAAAAUAACAUAAAAGAGCUUUUAGGAACAUGAUUCCCAUUAUUUUAGACUGACCCUUCCAGACAAAGGAUUUGAUGACUCAUACUUAGUGUCUUGAUGAGUGUUUUCUUCCAAUUUUAAUGGAAGUUCUCAAAAAGAGUCUGAUGGAAGAAAGGCUGGUUGGAAAUACUGUACAACUUUUAUUAUUUUUUUCCCUUAGAGACCUUUCCAUAUCUUAGCUGCACAGAUCAAUUCCACGAUUCAUAAGUAUUUCCAUAACUUAGCUUUUCCUUCUCAAAUCUGCAUGUCUAUUUUGCUAUUGUCUUCUGUAGUUAUUUGAUAGUUAGCAAUUGUAUUUCAUCUCAAUUUCCUUUGCAAAUAAAUGUACUUGAUUUAUUAAAACUCUCUCUUUGUCUGGAGCAGUUGUUUUUUUCAGUGUAUCAUCUUUAAACUGAUAUCCUUAAAUGCCCUACAUGUGAAGAGGAAUAAUAAAGACAUAUGUUAAAUUACAGAGUGGUUGAAGUUGGAAGGAACCUCUGGAAGUCAUCUGGGUCAAACUCCUCUGUUCAAGCAGAGCUGCUUGCCCAGGACUGUGUCCAGAUGGCUUUUUCUGAAUAUAUCCAAUAAUGGAGACUCCACAACCUCUCUGGGCAACCUGUUCCAGUGCUCUGUCAUCCUCAUAGUGAAAAAAAAUCCAGGGGGAGUCCAGUUUUCUGACUGUAUAUGAACACCUGGUGUUGAUUAAAAUGCCUUCAUCUCAAACCAGCAGGACAAGUUUCCCUUGAAAUUUGCCAUUUCAAGUAACAUCUGGAAUUCAGUUAGGGCAAACAGUUACACGCACAUACGGUGACAUCCAACUGUCUUCUUCCCAUUACUUCAGAGAAGAACAAAUAUUACCUUAUUAAAAAACAAUUGAGAAAGAAAAAUGAAACAAAAUAACAAGAAAAAACAAACUCCCACAGAAACAAGUUCUUAUUGCUCCUCUAGCAAAAAUUCUGCUGUGGAAUAAGUCAUCAAUGAUGCCAUUAAAUAAACAUCUGCAAACCA